GAGGACUGCCCGAUGGCGGCGGCACUGUUCGAGCCGCCCUGCAGCGGUGUGGAGACUCCGACCAGUUGGGGCAGGCGGCUCAGGUCGCGGCCAGCCAGUUUCCUGUUCUUCCCAACCUGCGCUAUGGACUUCAUCAGAUUUCAGCAUCAGAGAGAAUAUGGAAGGACAUCGACCCUAACUUCAUCCAGUGAGGAUUUCCACACACCAUACACUCUCUGAGAGUUCUCUUGGCUUUGUGUGCACACCUCCAGUGACAGGGAGCUCGCUAUGUCAUGAGGCAGCCUGCUCCCUUGUGGCUAUCACUGAACCAACUAUUAAGCCUUCUUAUACAAACAGUCCCUGACUUACUGUUAGACUUACAACUUUUUGAUUUUACAGUGGUGCAAAAGCAAUAUGCAUUCCAUAGAAACUGUAUUUCAAAUUUUGAAUUUUGAUCUUUUCCAGGCUAGCAACAUAUGAAGACCAACCUUCUAUUUUUAAAAUAGGCUUUGUGUUAGAUGCUUUUGCCCAACUAUAGGUUAAUGUAAAUGUUCUGAGAAUAUUUGAGGAAGGCUAGGCUAAACUGUGAUCUUUGGGAGCUUAGAUAUGUUAAGUGCAUUUUCAACUUACAAUAUUUUCAACUUACGAUGAGUUUAUUGGGAUGAAGCCCGUUGUAAGUAAAGGAGCAUCUGCAUUAAGCUAAAAUCCAUGUCUAUAACUUCCUCAGUAAUAUCAAGUUUGUUCCUUGGAGCCAGAGAAUAAACUGAAUCCUUUUCC
rnacentral:lncRNA from 1 species